CAUUCUGGGAUACACUCUCAAGGAGAUGGGCUGUCUCAGAUCAGCUACUGAGGAAACUGCCCCUUGGGGGAGCUUUAAGGAACCUCUGGCUGGUUCUGCUGUGUGACGUCACUUCCUUUUAGAUAAAGGACUAUUAGGCUUCAAGAAACAAGAUUCCAGCUACUUCCUCUUGGCUCACAGUAGGCUUGAGGACUGUGUCACUAACAGCAUGUGGUGGAAGAUGGCAACUUCCAGAAAAAUACCACAUGUCUGUUCUCAGCAAAACAAGCUUCUACUCAUCUCCUUCAGUAAAAACAUCCUCUCCUAGACAGUUUCCAGAAAAACAUCACAUGGCACAACAGAGUCUCCAAAGAAACCAGGCAAAUCCACUUCGGGGGAGACAAUGAUGAAGUAAAGUUUCCAGAGAUGAAGAGGGUGACUUAGCAGCUUCAUCCCUUCAUGCUCUGGGGAGGAUUAAAUUGUCAACUUGAUAUGACCUGUGAA